rnacentral:lncRNA from 1 species
UCCAAUUGGAAUUCAUCGUAGUAUUUUUGUCAUCAUGGUGUCCAAGCAACAGCACAAAGAGUUAAAGCAGUGGGGAUGAAUGUUCUCUUCAGACAAAGUUAUUUUUUUUCCUGUCAACAUGGUCCCCCUAUUUUUACCCCAGGGAGGAUCCUAAUUAUGCAUAUCUCCCUUUUCAUUGUCAGUCUCAAAGACACUGGUUAACACAGACUGUGUUACAGGCCCAGUGUUUCUCUUGGCUAAGGGAAAGUGAGCCAUCUAUGUUCUCUGAGUUACCACCCAAUCAAGACAGAGCAAAAGAACUUGACUUCUCUCCCCAGCCAUAUUCUUGGUUAUGAUGAGGCCUCUGGGGAAGACAAGGGGCUGGUACCCACUAAAAGGGAGGCCAUUUUGUCUGUUGAGAGGGCAGGUAAUUAUGAAAUCAAAAUGUUUGGGUUUUUAGGUAGUUCUCCUAAACACCCCUCCCCCAAAUUAGUUGGACUUAAAUGAACUCUUUGGAUAUUGAAGUAGGGGGGAAAGGGACAGGUGCAUCCUCUGUGCUGAUUUACGAAAUGAACCGCCUUCCCAAACGGAGCGCGUCUGUGAAUACAUGGUGCUGCCCAGUGUCAUAAACUUGCUGUGAGCCAUUAUGGUUGGGGGAAGAACCAAUCUGGGAAUUUGUUGUCAGUUCUUUCAAAGAUUAAGUGGUGCUUCUAGUGAUGUUUCUAUUAACAGCAUUGGCCAUUGUGUGUGUGUGUGUAUGUGUGUGCGUACCCAUACAAGUAAAACAUUUUUUGAGAGGCUACAGCCCCUGAAUGGUGUAUGUCAAUUAAUACCUUUAUGAUGCUGUAACUCUGUCGCUGUAGGAAUCCUGGGCAAUUAUUGCACUGUUAUUUUGGAACUGCUGCUUAAAAAUUGGGAAAAAAAGGUGAGCAAACAUUUUCCUCUUGGAGAAUUUUAAAUAUAACUUUUGUGUAUUGUCAUGUAAAAUAAAUAUGCUAAAUGGAACUUAAUCUGACUUUUU